AUUGAACGCUGGCGGCAGGCCUAACACAUGCAAGUCGAGCGAGCGGCGGACGGGUGAGUAAUGUCUGGGAAACUGACUGAUGGAGGGGGAUAACUACUGGAAACGGUAGCUAAUACCGCAUAACAUCAGAUGUGCCCAGAUGGGAUUAGCUAGUAGGUGGGGGAACGGCUCACCUAGGCGACGAUCCCUAGCUGGUCUUGGAGGAUGACCAGCCACACUGUAACUUAGACACGGUCCAGACUCCUACGGGAGGCAUCAGUGGUGAAUAUUGCACAUUGGGCGCAAGCCUGAUGCAGCCAUGCCGCGUGUGUGAAGAAGGCCUUCGGUUUGUAAAGCACUUUCAGCGGGGAGGCGUUACCCGCAGAAGAAGCACCGGCUAACUCCGUGCCAGCAGCCGCGGUAAUUC
rnacentral:rRNA from 1 species